AUUAAUUCGAUUCUUGAAGGAUAUCCUUCGAAGAACAAAGAACAAAAUUUUCAUAAACAUUUCACUUAAGUGCUUAAUCUCAGUCCUAAUGAGUCAAAUUUCAUUCUUCUUUCGAGAACGUUAGAAUGGAAUAAAAUUAAAAUUACAAUAACGUCGAGGUAUUAGAGACGAAAGACUGGCGAGAUCUCGAUUCUUUUAGGAACGAUGAGUUCAUAACCGAUUUUAACCGCAGAUUUUGCUCCAACUUCAUUCUUCUUUCAAGUUGUCCUUCAGUGUUCUUUGUUGUUCAACCGCAGAUUUUGCUACAUCUUCUAGCAAAAUAAGGUUUAUACAUAGGAAACGUGAGGCAGUUAUGUCCGCUAGUAAGUACAAGAAGAAAUUCCAGAUACUUGCGAAAAUAAAAUAUCUUGAAAAAUUCAACAAAGAAGAAUAUAAACCUCUUGGUAAACCACAAAGUUUCUUGUAUCUUGUAUCCCUGCUUUUGAUUUUGCUUGCUUUGUGUGGAUCCCUCGUGAGAGGAACACCGAUCGAUGCAGA
rnacentral:lncRNA from 1 species